AAUGAACGUUGGCGGCGUGGAUUAGGCAUGCGAGUCGAGCGAGAACCGUAGCAAUACGGGGACAGCGGCGAAAGGGACAGUAACGGGUAGAUUAUCUGCCCUCAGGUUUAGGAUAGCUGCGGGAAACUGCAAGUAAUACCAAAUAAUAUCUCCGGAUCAAAGGUGUGAUUCCGCCUGAGGAUGAGUCUGCCUCCUAUUAGCUUGUUGGUGGGGUAACGGCCUACCAAGGCAUUGAUGGGUAGCGGGUGUGAGAGCACGACCCGCGUCAUUGGGACUGAGACACUGCCCAGACACCUACGGGUGGCUGCAGUCGAGAAUCUUCGGCAAUGGACGCAAGUCUGACCGAGCGACGCCGCGUGUGGGAUGAAGGCCUUCGGGUUGUAAACCACUGUCAGAGGGGAUGAAAUGCAGGUGGGUACUCCCAUCUGUUUGACAUAGCCUCAGAGGAAGUACGGGCUAAGUUCGUGCCAGCCGCCGCGGUAAAAC
rnacentral:rRNA from 1 species